CCUACGGGUGGCAGCAGUGAGGAAUAUUGGUCAAUGGACGAGAGUCUGAACCAGCCAAGUAGCGUGAAGGAUGACUGCCCUAUGGGUUGUAAACUUCUUUUAUAUGGGAAUAAAAUGUUCCACGUGUGGGAUUUUGUAUGUACCAUAUGAAUAAGGAUCGGCUAACUCCGUGCCAGCAGCCGCGGUAAUACGGAGGAUCCGAGCGUUAUCCGGAUUUAUUGGGUUUAAAGGGAGCGUAGGUGGAUGGUUAAGUCAGUUGUGAAAGUUUGCGGCUCAACCGUAAAAUUGCAGUUGAUACUGGCAGUCUUGAGUACAGUAGAGGUGGGCGGAAUUCGUGGUGUAGCGGUGAAAUGCUUAGAUAUCACGAAGAACUCCGAUUGCGAAGGCAGUUCACUGGACUGCAACUGACACUGAGGCUCGAAAGUGUGGGUAUCAAACAGGAUUAGAUACCCUAGUAGUC
rnacentral:rRNA from 1 species